rnacentral:rRNA from 1 species
GACGAACGCUGGCGGCGUGCCUAAUACAUGCAAGUCGAACGCUGAAGCUUGGUACUUGCACCGAGCGGAUGAGUUGCGAACGGGUGAGUAACGCGUAGGUAACCUGCCUGGUAGCGGGGGAUAACUAUUGGAAACGAUAGCUAAUACCGCAUAAGAGUAGAUGUUGCAUGACAUUUGCUUAAAAGGUGCAAUUGCAUCACUACCAGAUGGACCUGCGUUGUAUUAGCUAGUUGGUGAGGUAACGGCUCACCAAGGCAACGAUACAUAGCCGACCUGCGAGGGUGAUCGGCCACACUGGGACUGAGACACGGCCCAGACUCCUACGGGAGGCAGCAGUAGGGAAUCUUCGGCAAUGGACGGAAGUCUGACCGAGCAACGCCGCGUGAGGGAAGAAGGUUUUCGGAUCGGAAAGCUCUGUUGUAAGAGAAGAACGAGUGUGAGAGUGGAAAGUUCACACUGUGACGGUAUCUGACCAGAAAGGGACGGCUAACUACGUG